rnacentral:rRNA from 1 species
UACGUAGGGUGCGAGCGUUAAUCGGAAUUACUGGGCGUAAAGCGUGCGUAGGCGGUUCGUUAAGUUCGUUGUGAAAGCCCCGGGCUCAACCUGGGAAUGGCAAUGGAAACUGGCGGGCUGGAGUAUGGCAGAGGGGGUGGAAUUCCGCGUGUAGCAGUGAAAUGCGUAGAGAUGCGGAGGAACACCGAUGGCGAAGGCAGCCCCCUGGGCCAAUACUGACGCUGAGGAGCGAAAGCGUGGGGAGCGAACCGG